rnacentral:rRNA from 1 species
GCGGGAGCACUUAAUGCGUUAGUCUGCGGCGCGGAAACCGUGGAAUGGUCCCCACACCUAGUGCCCAACGUUUACGGCAUGGACUACUCAGGGUAUCUAAUCCUGUUCGCUCCCCAUGCUUUCGCUCCUCAGCGUCAGUUACAGCCCAGAGACCUGCCUUCGCCAUCGGUGUUCCUCCUGAUAUCUGCGCAUUCCACCGCUACACCAGGAAUUCCAGUCUCCCCUACUGCACUCUAGUCUGCCCGUACCCACCGCAGAUCCGGGGUUAAGCCCCGGACUUUCACGACAGACGCGACAAACCGCCUACGAGCUCUUUACGCCCAAUAAUUCCGGAUAACGCUCGCACCCUACGUAUUACCGCGGCUGCUGGCACGUAGUUAGCCGGUGCUUCUUCUGCAGGUACCGUCACUUUCGCUUCUUCCCUACUGAAAGAGGUUUACAACCCGAAGCCGUCAUCCCUCACGCGGCGUCGCUGCAUCAGGCUUGCGCCCAUUGUGCAAUAUUCCCCACUGCUGCCUCCCGUACGAGUCUGGGCCGUGUCUCAGUCCCAGUGUGGCCGGUCACCCUCUCUGGCCGGCUACCCGUCGUCGCCUUGGUGAGCCAUUACCUCACCAACAAGCUGAUAAGCCGCGAGUUCAUCCAAAACCGAUAAAUCUUUCCAACACCCACCAUGCGGUGGACGCUCCUAUUCGGUAUUAGACCCAGUUUCCCAGGCUUAUCCCAGAGUAACGGGG